GAACAUUAAUAAUUUUUGGCCAAACGGCUACUACUCAGUCCUCACUAUAUGAGUAAUUUGAAAGGGCUUUAGAGUGUUUUCAAAGUACUAUAUAUAUAGGAAUACAUAUUUGGAUUGAGUUAGGGUUAGCAGACUGCCUAUUUAUUCGUUACAUGGGACAAUUUCUUCAUCCUCAAUUUUAAUUGUCUAGACAUGACAUCAGAUUAUGGAAUCAUCCCUGAAAUGUCCAACCUUACUGGUCGUUGAAUCAAAUGCUUAAGUACCUUUUUCUGUUUGUUAGUUUGGUGAGAUCAACGACACAAUGAACUGUACUAAGUGAUUAAAGCUCCGGUAAUAAUGGAGGUAAGAACGCGGCCUCCUCCAUCUCCUACACGUCACACUGAACUAAAACAAGUGACAUACGGUGGAUUUAAUGGAUUAGAUACCUAGAUGGAAUUUGUUCUUUACAUUCUAAGAUGUGCAACAGUACUUGAG